GUUCACACUGACUUUUAAAUCUGCAUAAUGUAAUAACUUUCUUAUUUUAAAUGCUACAGACAGCGGUUUUUCUCCAUUAUAAUCCUCUCCAAAACCCUGGUAUUUUGAUAUAUGAUAAAGCUAGAGCGCAGUUAUAGAAAAGGAGAAGUAAAAUCAAAGCACAUGGACACUUAAAGAGCACUUGACGCCAUUACUACCACCCACGUGCGGUUAUCGCGUAGGCGGAUAAAAUAAAAUGGCCGCUGCAGCUACUAUCAAGAAGAAGUGGGAAACAGACUUUGAACAAUGUACAAGACUCAAAGGAAAGGCCAAUACAAUUAUAGAACUGAGUAUUAUAGCAAUAAGAAACAUAGUCAGAAUGUGACAAAUAACAGUCCAAGAUCUCAACUUGAA